rnacentral:rRNA from 1 species
ACUCAAAUGAAUAGACGGGGGCUCACACAAGCGGUGGAGCAUGUGGCUUAAUUCGAGGCUACGCGCAGAACCUUAUCCCGGGCUUGACAUGCACGGAUUAACCCGCGGAAACGCGGGCCAGGCCGCAAGGUACAACGUGCACAGGUGCUGCAUGGCUGUCGUCAGCUCGUGUCGUGAGAUGUUGGGUUAAGUCCCGUAACGAGCGAAACCCCUGUGACUAGUUGCCAGCGCGUCAUGGCGGGGACUCUAGUCAGACCGCCGGCGUCAAGCCGGAGGAAGGCGGGGACGACGUCAAGUCCUCAUGGCCCUUAUGCCCGGGGCUGCACACGUGCUACAAUGGGCCGGACAGAGCGCCGCCAGGCCGUAAGGCCGAGCCAAUCGCCCAAACCGGCCCCCAGUUCGGAUUGCGGGCUGCAACCCGCCCGCAUGAAGCCGGAAUCGCUAGUAAUCGCGGAUCAGCACUGCCGCGGUGAAUGGGUUCCUGAGCCUUGUACACACCGCCCGU